UAUGGCCACAUCACAUUGAAACACAGGUUCCUGUAUGAUCACUGAAGUUAAGCAACAUUGAGCCUGGUUAGUACCUAGAUGAAUGACCACUUGGUGAUACCAGGUAGUGU